rnacentral:misc_RNA from 1 species
GAUGAAGAACGUAGCGAAAUGCGAUAAGUAGUGUGAAUUGCAGAAUUCAGUGAAUCAUCGAAUCUUUGAACGCACAUUGCGCCCCUUGGUAUUCCAUGGGGCAUGCCUGUUCGAGCGUCAUUUGUACCUUCAAGCUCUGCUUGGUGUUGGGUGUUUUGUCUCGCCUCUGCGUGUAGACUCGCCUUAAAACAAUUGGCAGCCGGCGUAUUGAUUUCGGAGCGCAGUACAUCUCGCGCUUUGCACUCAUAACGGCGACGUCCAAAAGUACAUUUUUACACUCUUGACCUCGGAUCAGGUAGGGAUACCCGCUGAACUUAAGCAUAUCAAAAGCGGAGGA